GACGAACGCUGGCGGCGUGCUUAACACAUGCAAGUCGAACGGAAAGGCCCUGCUUUUGUGGGGUGCUCGAGUGGCGAACGGGUGAGUAACACGUGAGUAACCUGCCCUUGACUUUGGGAUAACUUCAGGAAACUGGGGCUAAUACCGGAUAGGAGCUCCUGCUGCAUGGUGGGGGUUGGAAAGUUUCGGCGGUUGGGGAUGGACUCGCGGCUUAUCAGCUUGUUGGUGGGGUAGUGGCUUACCAAGGCUUUGACGGGUAGCCGGCCUGAGAGGGCGACCGGCCACAUUGGGACUGAGAUACGGCCCAGACUCCUACGGGAGGCAGCAGUGGGGAAUAUUGCACAAUGGGCGGAAGCCUGAUGCAGCAACGCCGCGUGCGGGAUGACGGCCUUCGGGUUGUAACCCGCUUUCGCCUGUGACGAAGCGUGAGUGACGGUAAUGGGUAAAGAAGCACCGGCUAACUACGUG
rnacentral:rRNA from 1 species